rnacentral:rRNA from 1 species
UACGUAGGGUGCGAGCGUUGUCCGGAAUUACUGGGCGUAAAGAGCUCGUAGGCGGUGUGUCGCGUCGGCCGUGAAAACCUGCAGCUUGACUGUGGGCUUGCGGUCGAUACGGGCAUCACUGGAGUUCGGCAGGGGAGACUGGAAUUCCUGGUGUAGCGGUGAAAUGCGCAGAUAUCAGGAGGAACACCGGUGGCGAAGGCGGGGUCUCUGGGCCGAUACUGACGCUGAGGAGCGAAAAGCGUGGGGGAGCGAACAGG